rnacentral:rRNA from 1 species
UACGAGGGGGCUAGCGUUGCUCGGAAUCACUGGGCGUAAAGCGCACGUAGGCGGAUUGCUAAGUCAGGGGUGAAAUCCUGGAGCUCAACUCCAGAACUGCCCCUUGAUACUGGCGAUCUCGAGUCCGGGAGAGGUGAGUGGAACUGCGAGUGUAGAGGUGAAAUUCGUAGAUAUUCGCAAGAACACCAGUGGCGAAGGCGGCUCACUGGCCCGGUACUGACGCUGAGGUGCGAAAGCGUGGGGAGCAAACAGGA